rnacentral:lncRNA from 1 species
UGCCGUCCACCACAAGGUUAUGCCCGUUGACGUAUCUGGACUCGUCGCUGGCCAGGUAGAGCACCGCCUCAGCGAUGUCCUGCGCCUUCAACGCCGUGGCUCUCAGGACGGAAAUCUUCUCCGUGACGUCUUCCACUGCUCUGGUGUCCAUCCCGAGGCUGCCGCAAGUCAAGGACGACGCCACAAAAUAUGGGGAGACGCAGUUCACCCGCACGCCGGAGCGGCCAAGCUCCACGGCGGCAUCCCUCGUCAGCCCCACCACGGCGUGCUUCAACGCCGCGUAGGGGGACAUCGCCAGGGCGGCCAUGACGGAGGUGAUGCUGGCCGUGCAUUGAUGCUGGCCCGCCCGGCGCCGGCCAUGACUCGCCCCGCGUGCUUGAUACCCAGGAAAACGCCGAUCACGUUCACAACCAUCACUUACUCGAAGUCCGAUCUGUCUACGUCGAGGAGGGGCAGGUCCUUGGAGUUGAUCCCGGCGUUGUUGAACAUGACGUCUAGCCGACCAUGAGAGCUCAGGGCGGUCUCCACGGCGGCCUGGAUAUCGGCCUCGGCGGAGACGUCGCAGUGGACGUAGGAGGCCACGCCGCCGUUGCCGACGAUUUCCCUGCAUACCUCCUCGUCCUUCUCGUCCUGGAUAUCGGCGACGACGACCUUGGCACCGUGCCGGGCAAAAAGUCUGGCGGUGCUCUCGCCGAUGCCGUUGGCGCCGCCGGUAAUCAUGGCCACCUUCCCCCUCCAGUCUGCAACCAAAACGACGGCGGUGACGCAAAAUCGUCCUUAAAUCAAACGAAAGAUCGAGGACAAAGGCAGAAUGUGAAUCAUUGCACGCCUCGUACCGCCUCGCCAGGAAAGACAGCACCGGGGAGCUCUUCAUGACGACGAUGCGAUCUUCCGGCGUCGGGGUCAACGAACUCAAGACAAAGAAGAGGUAGAGGCUGCCAUCGUGAUUUGGGGCUGUGCUGACCUUCCAUUUAUAAAACAGAAGUUCUUGGGUAAGUUAUUUCGUUCUUUCAUUUCUGGAAGCGAGACACCGAAGAGUCCUGCUGGGUGAAAGUUCCCGACUGCUCGAAUGAAAGUCAAAGCUCGCUUCGGCGAAUCCGCAGGGUCCCAAAUGAAUUGGCUUAUUCGAAAAAAGCCUUGUUCUUUGGAAGAUCUAUCUCGUGUCUGGUACUGCAUGGUUCCACUCUCCAAGAACUCCGAAUCCUUCUGUUGAAGCUCAUUCUCUUUAUGAAAAAUGAUCCGGUUAGAAUUCACAGGGUCAACCCUGCCUCAGUUCCAGAUCCUGGUUCGUCGGACUGGGUUCUAGCCAUUCGAUUCUUCUCGUCGAGUAAUGUCUAGCUAGGGUAGAAGCUUCGGCGGAGUCAUAUGAAAGGACUAGGAAUUAGGGCGAGAUCUCGACCUAACUCUCACGCCACGGUCAAAGGCAGGCAAUAUCACUUACCUCCAUGCUAUGCCGAGGAAAGAAUGAAAGCGCGAUUGGAUCGCGGAAGGUCCACAUAAAAAAUGAUGGUGGGUGUGGUAGAGAGUAGCUUCUCCCUUCUCCACAUGCCUGUCCUGUGCGAGGCUGCUCACCAUUUGGAGUAGCGAUGGAGGCCCCCGACAAGCUGAACAGACAGCGACAUCUUACCAACUUCUCAACACAUUUGGUACAUAAGAACAUAAUAGAUAAGUUCGUUUUCCGGGUAGAGUGAAUGGGCUUCUAUUUAAUUGGAGAUGAAAGUUGACUACUAGGCACCUUGUGAGGGGGACAAAUCAUCGGAGACAGUAGUACGUGAUGUAGGUUACUAUAUUAAGGAGACAAGAUCAAGCUGAAGCUAAUGUUAAUUGUUUAUUUAGCAUAUGAAUCUAUCAUGCUAAAUUUUAAGCGUAUUUAAAUGAAAAAUUAGUUUUAUACCCUAACAUAAGCUAUGUAUAUUAAGAUAUGUCACUUUAUCCACUAAUUUAUACCGCAACAUAUAAAUUUGAUACGUUAAGAUCCUCUAAAAGGUAUUCCACAUUACGUAUUGACACAAUGUAAUUAUAUUUAUUGAAAUAUUUUACUUAAUUUGCCAAAUAUUUUCACACCCUUAUAAAUAUACCAUGUAUAGAGUAAUUUUAUAAUGUAACUUCUUUUGUACUGAAAUAUUAACUUUAACAUACUUAAUGUUGUAAAACACGAAUUUUCUUACGGGGAACAUAUUAUCUUUGACAUAUCUUGUUAUUUCAUAGUGGAAACAUCAUCUAUAUUGAAAUACCAACCUUAGUGGAUUACACUAUUUUAGUUGAUAAUUUCUCACAUAAACAUGAACAUUAAUAUAUAACAUAACUUACUAUAUAAUGACAUGUUAAAAUUAAUAUGCUUUACUGUUUCGCAACAUAAUCUUAAUAUAAUUAAAUAUCUAUUGUUUCUAAAGAAGGUUAGAAAUAAUAUUAAAAGAGGAGGUGAUUUAGACUUUUCCUGAUCUAUAAGAUUUUUCUAAUCUUUUCAUAUCUGCUCACAGAGAAUUUCUAGUUGUUCAGUCUACUUGACCUACUUCACUCUCUAAAGACCAUCUAUUUAGGUUUUAUUAAUUCCCUAGUGAUAUUACAUUGCAUCUAAAAGCUUCAUGUAGUUUUCACUAUAUUCAAUAGCUCUAUCCAACUUAAAAUUUUCUCUGCAAAAACUUCUUUAAGAUUCAUGAAUUUGUGUCAACCAACCUAUAUUAUCAACACAUUAAUAUGUUUUUAAAUUGAUGGCUCUAAAUCCACUUAAGUAGAGCAAGUUACUGCUCAACUCAACUAAACUGUUAAUAGAAAUAUUUAAACCACCUAAUGUGUAUGAGCUACUGCUAUAAAUCUGGUACUAAAACUACUACUAAUAAUUUGAGACAUUUUCAUCACUAGCCUGCUCAUUACAAUUGUGGUAAAAAUAAAGAACUUAAAAUCAAGUUUUGUAGUCGUCUCAUGAUCUAAACAUUGUGUAAAUUUAAUACUUGAUCACUCAAAUAGUUUUUAUAACUAGAUUCUUGGCACAUAUAUGGGCAUGCAUGCAAUCAUUAUAAUUAUUUUGAAAAAUGGAGAUGAUGCAAAAAAAUAGUGUCUGAAAACUGAAAGAAUUUUUUUUAAUGUUAAAUUUAUAAUAUUAAGAUAUCUUUCUUGAUAAGCAUUUCAAGACCCUAGUAUGACAACUAGCAAUUCAAUUUCUAACUAUAUCUAGUCAUUACGUGUGAAUACUGAAGUAUAAAUAACAAACCUCAUAAGAAAGUUACUUCACACUAGACUUGAGGAUGAAGGGAGGGAGCGAUACAAUGACCUAUCUACACUUAUAAUGAGCUACAUUGAAACAUAUUCCAGAGCUCCCAAAGUAAUCAAAGAAGGAUUCAUCUUGAAGAACUAUAGAUGGAUUCCACCUUGAUAAUAAUUGGAAAAAUCCAAUUUACGUGAAAACAUAGUGUAGUUUAAUUACUUACAUUAUCUAACAUAAUACCACAUCAAGUGGUUGUGCAUUGGGUUAAACUAUGUACUGUAUUUGCUAUCAAGUUUGGAAGUAUCUUGACACGUCUAGUCAACCAAAGUCAAUAGGUUAGAUGGAGGAAUAAUAAUGUUGUCAAAAAUUAUUUAUUAGGAUGAAGGCAUUAAGCUGUGUUGGAAUGAUAGUGUCAUGAAAGACUAUUUAGUCAACUCAAUGUCAGGUGAACUAUUCAUAAGUGGGUCCUAGCUUCAACUUGUGUUCCUCAACCACUCAGUCAUCUAUUCUAGUGACAAUGUUAUCCCUGAGUCCCUUUUGUUUCCAUAUUAGAAUAUUUUGUUCAUGUAGUAUUUUGUGUGAACCAUAUAUAAGUCCACUCAUUUGCAUAGCUGGUGGUUAGUGAGGAGGGAUUACCCACUUGAUUAGCAUCUUAUGACUUAUUGAUUGUGGAGCACCCUAAUCUUUGAUAUUUAUUAUAAAUCUUACAUGAUUACACUCGAUCUUACCCUAGCCAACCUUCUUAAGUUCUUAGAUACAUUGUUAGAGUCUAGGUCUUGGUCACUUAUCUAAGGUAACAUAGUUCAUCAUCCCAUCCUUCAUCGUCCAAGAUCGUCACGGGAUUGUGAAACACGAUGCCCAGCUGUCUGCGAGACAUUAGAGCGGUGUCCACGAUAGCCUGGACGUUGGCCUCGGAGGAGACAUUGUAGUAACAUAGGAGGCCACGCCACCGUUGCAGACGGUUUCAUUGCAGACCUCCCUGACCCUUCUCGUCCUGGAUGUCGGCGACGACAACCUUAGCACCGCGCCUGGUGAACAGACCGGCAGUGCUCUCAUCGAUGCCGUUGGCGCCGCCGGUGACGAUUGUCAUAUUUUCCUCCAGCCUGCAACCAAGAUGACGGCGGCGAGGCUAAAUGGCCCGCAAAAUAAUGAGAGAAGGUAAGUUAUCACAAUCUGGUACCACCUCGCCAGGGGAGAGCACGGGGAAGCUCUCCAUGGCGGCGAUGCGAUCGUCCGGCGUCGGCGAAUUCUAGAGCAAAGCGAGGUGGAGACUGCCUGCAGUGAGCUGACCCGCAGCGCUGGUCCUUGAUUUUUAAAACGAACUUCUUGAAUGAAAUGUUCUAUCCUACGGCUGAUGAAGAAUAUUGUAGAGAACAAUUAAAUUAUCCACAACGACUUUCUUCCAGAAGCUAGAUUCUCGGCAGUAAUUCGGUGAAUGUGAAUUCGUUGACUUUCAAGCGGCACAUGUGGCUCCUUCCGGGUGCCCAACCAUUUCUUGUAAAGUACGACCUCUGCAUUUGACCUUAUCUCACAAAUCACCCACUAUGGGUGCUAUAAGGGGCCUGAAUGUUUUUCCCUUCUCCUAAGGUCACCUCUCUCUCUCUCUCUCUCUCUCUCAUUCCCGCCGCCACCACUCAUCCCCCCUCCUCAUCUUUGGGGCAUUCGGGUUUGAGGGUGACUUCUAGGGAUUUAGCUUAGAUUUUUUUUCUCUACUUCUGGGUCCAAACAUCUUAACACAUAAAACCAAAGUAAUUUAUGAGAAUUUAGAGGUCUAAUAAUUCAGAAGAAUUUAAAGGUGAACAUAUUGUUCGAUUGUGUAUAAAACACCUCGUUUUUUAAAAAUUUUCCCGGAUAAAUCCUUCAAUUAUAGAUUGUUAUCGUCCAAGAUGAAAGUGGUGAGAGAGGGGAAACAAUAGCAUAAAAGGUGAGCGGUAGGGGAGAGAGAGAGAGAGAGAGAGAGAGAGAGAGAGAGAGAGAGAGAAUAANNNNNNNNNNNNNNNNNNNNNNNNNNNNNNNNNNNNNNNNNNNNNNNNNNNNNNNNNNNNNNNNNNNNNNNNNNNNNNNNNNNNNNNNNNNNNNNNNNNNNNNNNNNNNNNNNNNNNNNNNNNNNNNNNNNNNNNNNNNNNNNNNNNNNNNNNNNNNNNNNNAGGAGAGAGAGAGAGAGAGAGAGAGAGAGAGAGAGAGAGAGAUAAAUGAGGUUAUACGUCACCAUGAAUAGCAGCUCGAAGUAAAAUAAUAUCAUCCUUCACAAGGUACAGUACUAGAUGACUUUAUAUAACGCAAAGGGAAGUGGGAUAUAAGUUCAAUUGGAUACAAUGGGGGAAGGACAGACACAAUACUCGACAGAAAGGGAAGGUAAACUCAAACUCAGUUGAAGCUCCUGAGCAGUUCCUUACUCUGACAGAUUUUCUCCUCCUUCUAUCGGAUACCUUAAAUAGCCACGCGUGAAGUCAGUUUUCAAUCGUGGCCACCAAGUCUCCAUGAUUUUAAGGUAUCGUGGGAACAUGAGAGCGUGGCUGGAAGAUAGUUUGUUUGACAUUUUUUACUUAAAGAUCGGAGGUAUGUUAGAGCUCUAUAGAAAUCGUACGAAUAGAGAAAUGUUCUUAUAUGAAGGGAAUAACUUGGACAAUGUCCAGCGGCGGACCCGGCGUGGUUAACGCGCCGUCGACCACCAGGCUCUACUUGCUGAGAGACCUCGACUCGUCGCUCGCCAAGAAGAUAGCUGGCUUCGCCAUGUUCGCCUGCGUCAACCUAGUGGGAUCACGGAGUCGAUGAUCUUCUCCAAGUUCUUUCGAGGGAGUGACGCCUGACUGGUCAUCAUUGGGGUCGGUAUGGUUGUUCCCAGCGACACGCAGUUGACCCCAUUCCUGUGCUGUAAGGGUGACUUGGUCAUUUCUUCUUCUGUAGGGCUCAUGUGGGCCAUAUUUCUCCUUUGGGCUUUCACUUAUGACUAUUUUCUGUCUAAAAAACAGUUCAGCCCCUUUUAUAUAAUCUAUAUCUAAAGGGAGCUCGAGGAGAGAGAAAGGUGAGAGGAAAUAGACAAAUCUAUAGCACGGGAAAUCCUAUCCUUUAUGGCCGCUGCAACAGGAGUUUCGACUCCAUCUCUUUCUCUCUCCCCCACUGGUGGUUGGUAUUACUGUCUCUUUAACUCUGUCCCUGUUAUACUCUAUUCCUUAGACAUUAGAUAUUUCUCCUUCUUUGUUAAUUUACUAGUCGUGAGGUGUGUUCAUCCUCUAGACCACAGUAAUCACAAUCCUGUUUUAUUAUAGCCCAUUCUACAUUCUCGCUAUUAUUUAUACGGUAGAAGACCUGCUGCACUUGUGCGCUCUAUUUUUCUCUAUGUUGUCAUACCAUUUCUAAGCCCAUUAAGAUCAUAUUCCAUGUUUAAUUUCCUAAAAUGUGUCCCAUGAGUGCCGCCAUCCCUUUCUCUAUCCGGCCUGCCUGUACUUGCACCAUCGCCCCCUUGCCUUCCUUUCCCCCACAUGACCCACAGCAUCACGAACCGGUGGUCUGAACGUGUCAAGAUUAGCCCAUACUCCCCACAUUUGUCCAGGUGCAAUCCCGCUUGAGCCUUUGGACCAAAUCGACCUAUCGGUGGUCCAAGUUGGCCAUACCAACUGCCCCAUGUGGGUUGAGCCAACCCACUAAAUGACCAGGGCAAUGGUAAACAUUCAACGUCAACAACUAGAGUCAUUCGUCCAACUUCUUUCUCAGCUUGUAAUCUCAUAUUUCACGCGUCAUAUGAUUCUACUUGUCUAAUGUAUUCUUCUUGUGAUUGUCACACAUUCAACAUAGGGUAGUUAGUUAACAUCGGGUGAUCAUAUCCCAUGAUCCAUGUUGCCUUUAGAACACCUUAUAGCCUUCUUUGUAAUUUCCGUUUUCAAUUCGUGGAUGAUUUUUAAACUUCUUCUUGACUUACGAAUUUUUACUGCUUGAGUUUCCAAUACCAUUUGUAAUUUUUUUAACCGUUGGUUAGAUCUCUCCCAUCUCAUCGUCAUCAUCUACAUCACAUAGCCUUGCCGAGCCACUUGCGCCACGAGUGAUCAAGAUGACCUUUCCAUCUAGCCUGCCAUUUCAACGAGACAUGGGGCGAGCUCAAAAAGGAACUCCGCGAGUGAACGGCACCAAACAAGACUGGGGAGUCGGCCAGCACCGUUUGAUGAUUCUUCGCCGUGAACAUAUUUUUGAGGGAGAGAGAGAGAAAGAAAACUAAGACAGAGCUUCCUACGCCGCCCCACCUUCCUCCUCCAAGGAGUCGAAGGAAGAUCGUCAUCCUCGAUCGCCCAACGAUUAAUAACCAAGACGAGGACUCGUAAUAACUGGAAGAAGGGGACGAGGACUUACUGGUUUCCGGUAACCGAGAGGGCGAUCAUUCGUACGUGAAGAGGAGAUCGCCGGGCCUCUUGCCGGCGACGUUGUAGCCCGAGAGAGCCCCAUGUCGGCCAUGGGCAUAACUGGAGGAUGUCGGAGGCGACGCCCAUGGCGCCGCCAAGCGUCCCCGGUGACAGCGGGGUACGUUCCAUCCAAGCUGGAAAAGACCAUGGAAGUUAAGACGACGGCGAGGACGUCGCCAGCAGGCGUCCGGCGUCGGCCGUGGGGAAGCCUGGAGGAGAUCCACACUAUAAUAGUUUCCGGGCGCUCUCGUGAGAAAGACUUGGGGUGCCGAAAAACGUCGGCUUAAAUGUUUACUCAAGAAAGUAUAAACUCAUGGUCUUAGUUAAAAAUUCAUUUUAUUGUAAUCAUUCUUCACGGAGAUUCGAUGGGCGGAUCGGGAAGCCCAAGCUCCAUCUACCCCCCAGCUUCGGGAUCGGCCACGUACAGAAAACAAAGAGACGGGAAGAAUGGCAGCAGCGACGAGAUACGAGAGGAAACAGGAGGAAGAACGGCCACAUAGAGAAGGGAAGGGAAGGGAAGAUGGAUCAGGAGGAGGAAGCGGCUAAGGCGUGUGCCUCCAAGUAAGGAUUGGUGAUCGUGUAGCCGCCGUCCACCACAAGGUUAUGCCCGUUGACGUAUCUGGACUCGUCGCUGGCCAGGUAGAGCACCGCCUCAGCGAUGUCCUGCGCCUUCAACGCCGCGGCUCUCAGGGCGGAAGCCUUCUCCGAGACGUCUUCAGUGGCUCUGGUGUCCAACCCGAACGCCUCGGAGGCCAAGGACGAUGCCAAAAGAUGAGGGGAGACGCAG